rnacentral:rRNA from 1 species
CACGUAGGGCGCAAGCGUUGUCCGGAAUUAUUGGGCGUAAAGAGCUCGUAGGCGGUCUGUUACGUCUGCUGUGAAAACCCUGGGCUUAACCCUGGGCUUGCAGUGGAUACGGGCAGACUAGAGGCAGGUAGGGGAGAAUGGAAUUCCCGGUGUAGCGGUGAAAUGCGCAGAUAUCGGGAAGAACACCCGUGGCGAAGGCGGUUCUCUGGGACGGUACUGACGCUGAGACGCGAAAGCGUGGGGAGCGAACAGG